UACGGAGGAUGCGAGCGUUAUCCGGAUUUAUUGGGUUUAAAGGGUGCGUAGGCGGGAUAUUAAGUCAGCGGUAAAAUCGAGGGGCUCAACCCCUUUCAGCCGUUGAAACUGGUAUUCUUGAGUGAAUGAGAAGUAUGCGGAAUGCGUGGUGUAGCGGUGAAAUGCAUAGAUAUCACGCAGAACUCCGAUUGCGAAGGCAGCAUACCGGCAUUCAACUGACGCUGAAGCACGAAAGCGUGGGGAUCAAACAG
rnacentral:rRNA from 1 species